rnacentral:rRNA from 1 species
UACGUAGGGUGCGAGCGUUGUCCGGAAUUAUUGGGCGUAAAGCGCGUGUAGGCGGUUUCGCAAGUCGGGUGUGAAAGCCCUCAGCUCAACUGAGGAAGUGCGCCCGAAACUGCGGAGCUUGAGUACCGGAGAGGAUGGUGGAAUUCCCCAAGUAGAGGUGAAAUUCGUAGAUAUGGGGAGGAACACCGGUGGCGAAGGCGACCAUCUGGACGGAUACUGACGCUGAGACGCGAAAGCGUGGGUAGCAAACAGG